rnacentral:rRNA from 1 species
UACGGAGGGUGCAAGCGUUAUCCGGAUUCACUGGGUUUAAAGGGUGCGUAGGUGGGCAUGUAAGUCAGUGGUGAAAUCUCCGUGCUUAACAUGGAAACUGCCAUUGAUACUAUGUUUCUUGAAUUUUCUGGAGGUUAGCGGAAUAUGUCAUGUAGCGGUGAAAUGCUUAGAUAUGACAUAGAACACCAAUGGCGAAGGCAGCUAGCUAGAGGGAUAUUGACGCUGAGGCACGAAAGCGUGGGGAGCAAACAGG